GUUGGUUAGAAACCCUCCGUUCUCACAUGCACAACAAGAAGAAGGGAGAAAGAAGAAGAAAGAGAAGAGAGGGAAUAGAGGGAGAAAAUUACUUACCUGAAACACACCAUAGAUCACCUCUGCCCUCAGGAAAAUUGAAUUGCAGUGCAGGAAUCUACCCAACUCAGAGAAGUGACUUGUCUAACCCCGACUACCAAGAUGCCGAGGCCACAUCCUUUGUGACAUACUAUUUUUAGAUGAUGGAAAUCGGUGUUGAGGCGGGACUGGACUUUAGCAGUGGUUGUAAAGCUUAUGUCAGCGAGAUGUCUGGAUUUGAUGGGCUUCACUAUUAUUCAGUUCUUCCUUCUUGAUGUAUACAUAUUUAUGAUGUAUAGUAAGUAGUAUUGCAGCUUGUGGUUGUUUUCAGAUAAGUGAUUUAUAUAAUGUAAUGUAUCACUUUAGUACAUCACCAGUGAUAGUUAUGAGAUUUUAUUACCAUACUCUGAUUUUAGUUGUGGUCUUAUUGGCAUUUGUGAAAUUAAGAUACUACAUCUGUGAUCCUGGAGGAUUAGGUUGACUAGAUAUGGGUGUCCAGUACCACAUACCUUGGCCAAUUUUGGUAGGGUGUG